rnacentral:rRNA from 1 species
AUGGGAUCGCAGCCGCCGCCGCCGUUUCACUUCGGCCAUCUCAUCACCAUCAAGUUGUCGUCGGACAAUUACAUCUUCUGGCGCGCGCAGGUUCUUCCGCUUCUUGGGAGUCACUAUCUGCUUGGCUAUGUCGACGGCUCUCUCCCUUGCCCUCCUGCGCUGGUUGACAGCGUGCACGGUCCGGUCUAUAAUCCGGCUCACCGUGUCUGGACAGGGCAGGAUCAGGCGAACCUCUCCUCCAUCCAGGGGUCGCUCUCUCCGGCCGUUGCUGGGCUUGUUGUCUUCGCCAAGACGUCCCACGAGGCAUGGACUAUUCUUGAGCGCUCGUUUGCGGCACAGUCGCAGGCUCGUGUAUCUGGGCUCCGUCGCCAACUUGGGGAGUGUCAGAAGCUUGACUCCACCGCCACUGAGUUCUACAACAAAGUCAAGAGUCUCGCCGAUACGCUGGCCUCCAUUGGACAGCCCCUCACCGACUCCGAGUUCAACUCGUUUAUUGUCAAUGGUCUUGAUGAGGAGUAUGACGCCCUAGUCGAGAUCAUCAAUGAGAGGGGCAACUCCACGCCCAUGCCAGCACACGAGGUCUUUUCACGCCUCCUGCUUACUGAGCAACGAGUCGAGACGCGCCGAUCCAGGGGCAACGGCGCCCUCUCGGCAAACGCCGCCACCAAG